rnacentral:rRNA from 1 species
GGGUUGUGAGGUUAAGCGACUAAGCGUACACGGUGGAUGCCCUGGCAGUCAGAGGCGAUGAAGGACGUGCUAAUCUGCGAUAAGCGUCGGUGAGGUGAUAUGAACCGUUAUAACCGGCGAUUUCCGAAUGGGGAAACCCAGUGUGUUUCGACACACUAUCAUUAACUGAAUCCAUAGGUUAAUGAGGCGAACCGGGGGAACUGAAACAUCUAAGUACCCCGAGGAAAAGAAAUCAACCGAGAUUCCCCCAGUAGCGGCGAGCGAACGGGGAGGAGCCCAGAGCCUGAAUCAGUGUGUGUGUUAGUGGAAGCGUCUGGAAAGGCGCGCGAUACAGGGUGACAGCCCCGUACACAAAAAUGCACAUAUUGUGAGCUCGAUGAGUAGGGCGGGACACGUGGUAUCCUGUCUGAAUAUGGGGGGACCAUCCUCCAAGGCUAAAUACUCCUGACUGACCGAUAGUGAACCAGUACCGUGAGGGAAAGGCGAAAAGAACCCCGGCGAGGGGAGUGAAAAAGAACCUGAAACCGUGUACGUACAAGCAGUGGGAGCCUCUUAAUGGGGUGACUGCGUACCUUUUGUAUAAUGGGUCAGCGACUUAUAUUCUGUAGCAAGGUUAACCGAAUAGGGGAGCCGAAGGGAAACCGAGUCUUAACUGGGCGUUAAGUUGCAGGGUAUAGACCCGAAACCCGGUGAUCUAGCCAUGGGCAGGUUGAAGGUUGGGUAACACUAACUGGAGGACCGAACCGACUAAUGUUGAAAAAUUAGCGGAUGACUUGUGGCUGGGGGUGAAAGGCCAAUCAAACCGGGAGAUAGCUGGUUCUCCCCGAAAGCUAUUUAGGUAGCGCCUCGUGAAUUCAUCUCCGGGGGUAGAGCACUGUUUCGGCAAGGGGGUCAUCCCGACUUACCAACCCGAUGCAAACUGCGAAUACCGGAGAAUGUUAUCACGGGAGACACACGGCGGGUGCUAACGUCCGUCGUGAAGAGGGAAACAACCCAGACCGCCAGCUAAGGUCCCAAAGUCAUGGUUAAGUGGGAAACGAUGUGGGAAGGCCCAGACAGCCAGGAUGUUGGCUUAGAAGCAGCCAUCAUUUAAAGAAAGCGUAAUAGCUCACUGGUCGAGUCGGCCUGCGCGGAAGAUGUAACGGGGCUAAACCAUGCACCGAAGCUGCGGCAGCGACGCUUAUGCGUUGUUGGGUAGGGGAGCGUUCUGUAAGCCUGUGAAGGUGUGCUGUGAGGCAUGCUGGAGGUAUCAGAAGUGCGAAUGCUGACAUAAGUAACGAUAAAGCGGGUGAAAAGCCCGCUCGCCGGAAGACCAAGGGUUCCUGUCCAACGUUAAUCGGGGCAGGGUGAGUCGACCCCUAAG